rnacentral:lncRNA from 1 species
AAUCCAUUUAGAAUAAAGCUGUAAUUUAACUAAAUGUCAAAAAAAAUCUGUCUGAAUACUUUCCAAAUGCACUGUAUAAUUGGUGUGUGUGUGUGUAUGUGUGUGUGUGUGUGUGUAGGGAUGACACCACUGAUUGCCUGGCUGAUGGUGUUUCUCUGUGAUCUGACAGCAGGGGUGGAGCGUCCUGAGGUGAUGUGUCGUCGGUCCUGUGAGGAGCUGAAUGAUCUGUUAUCAGAGCUGCAUGGCCUCCACAUCGUUACCACUAGUCUGCUGCACGACCUUCAGAGAGCUGUAAGACACACAGACACAUACAGACAGGGUUGGCUAGGUUACUUCCUAAAUGGAAUUCGUUACAGUUACUGGUUACCUGUCCUAACUAGUAAUCAGUAAUGUAACUUUUGGAUUACUCAAACUCAGUAACGUAAUCUGAUUACAUUCAGUUACUUUUAGAUUACUUUCCCCUUAAGAGGCGUUAGAGGAAGACAACAAUGUAUGUAACCAAUUGAACAACAUCUAUUGCAGGAUAAAUGAAUGUUAAUGUUUACAUAGCUGGCCAUAUAUGGAUGUUAAAUUUUACUUUAUGGAUUGGUUAAGUAGGCUUCUUCUAACCCAUCGCUUUCUACUACAUAUAAUAAGACGAUUAAAUGAUAUCUUUACAUUAAAAACCAAAGUCUUUCAGAAUUCUACUCAUUCCAAUAAAUGUUAUACCCCUUGAUUUUCAAGAACAGGACUUGGAAAUAUGGAAGUAUUGAUUAGCCUAAUAGUUUUACCUGAGCAUGACCCACCUGAGCAUAGCCAGCCCUACUCUGUUGUUUAUGAUUUAGUUGUCAUGGAGAACUGAAUGGGCUCAUUGAUUAAAGUUGAAAAAUAAAUGCCUCACUCAUGGAAUGGCUUUGAGCACUACUGAAAAGUGCUAUUUACAUGUGAAUAAUGAAUGCAAUACGCUUAAUUUGCGACAGGCCUGUUGUUGAACUUUGUGUUGGUGACACUUUGAUAUCUUGAUAAUAUGCAGCUGUUUAAAGGGCAAGUCCACAGAUGAAACAAUAACAAAACGGUCUCCCCGCCUCUGUUUUGGUAAAAAGCUGAGGGAUGGGCCUGGAGAAAUGUAACCACUCUCAGAUUAAUAGACAGAGCUGUGGAUGCAAGGACUGACCAUCCAGGAUAUCAACACUAUUGUUUUAACCAUGUUUUGAGGCUGUACAGUGUUUGAUUACAUUUAAUGUUUACAAACAUUGGAGGGUAAA